UAAUCUUUAAAAAAGGUGUGUAUUAGAAGAGAUCUUUAUGUUUGUUUGGUUUUAGGAGUUGCAUUGAAAAUUAUAUGUGAUGCGUUAUGGUAAAAGGGUGGAAGGGAUCAUAAUAAAGUAUAGAUGUUUUUCUUAUAUUACUUAGGCCGGACAAUCAAAUCCUGGAUGUUAAUUGUGUAGAGAUCUUAAUGGAUUCUUGUGACAGGUACCAUCCAAUUGAGGACUUGCAUGGAUAAAGCAGUUUUAAGGUACUAAUAAAAUUUGUAAUAGUUUUUCAUCUUAAAACAGUGGUUUCCUUUAACAUGGAACUCUUUUAUACUGGGAGUAGCUUCUGACACUACAGUUUUUGAUAGUAAACAACUGAGUAGUGUUUUGUACAAAAGAAUGUAUGAAGCAUAUUUGCUUAGAAAACCAAGAAAACUUUUAACUGCUGAUGUCUCGAUGCGUUAAUAUCACAGUCUGAAGGAGGACAAGUAUUCAUUUCUACAGAGGACUUUGAAUAUCUUGUAUAUUGAUUUUAUUUCUGCCUUUUGUUUCUUGUACUUGUUGAUUGUUGGUACAAGUCGUGUGUAAUAUAUUUGUGAGUUCCGCUGUAUGUCGGCACUGUUUGUCCUUCACUCAUAUAGCCAGAUGUAUGUACGUACGAAAACAUGUGUAUAUGUUUGUACUCAUGUAUGUGGAUUUAUGUGUUGUAUAUUUUGGUUCUAAAAGGCAUGUAUGCUUUCUAUACCUGCUAUCAACAUGCUGAGUUGCUCCAUGAAUGUGCACAUGGAUGGUGCAGUACUGUUCAUUUAACUUCUUUUGCUUCAUAUUAGAUUUUCGUUGUUGUUCUGUGCUUGGGAAUGCAUUUCUUCUGCUUUAACCAAAACUCUUUGUUUCUCCCCAGUAUUCAAAAGCAGCAGGAAAGAUCAAAGAAGCCAUAUCAAGCCUCCCUCCCGCUACUGUGGAUGAUGACAAUGAUGAAGCAUCAGCCCUUGCUCUAGAUGGAAAUAAAGCAAGUGAUGCAGAGAACAAGGACACUAGUACCACAGAAACCAGUCAUUCUUAUCCGAAAAAAGAAAUUCCCGAUCCUUUUGGCUUAGAUACUCUGCUUCCAAGUACAUCGAAGAAAGAGAAAAAGGCCAGAGAGAAGGAGGUAGCAGCUUUGAACAGGAAGGCAGACGAAGAAGAAUCGAAGAGGUUUAUUAAGUCUCAGAGAGAAGCUUUACUAAAAUGUGUGGAACUUGCUGCACGUCGUUAUAAAGUGCCAUGGUAAGAUCUAUAAACACAUUCUGUUUCUUUAGUGUGGACUUUUUUUUUUUGGUUGAAAUAUUAUAUGUACAGCCCUGCACAAUAUCUAUCACAUAUAUAUUCCUUCCUAAAUUCUGAUUUUUAAGGUAUGCUGUAAAGAAUUUAAUUUAUGGCACAACAUCCUUGCAUGUACAAAAUAACCAUCUUACCCGAUGAACUGGAUGUAUAUCACCUUAAGACAUAGGUGGUUGUUCAUGUGUGUAGUGUUUCUUCAAAAAUCAGAUUUUACAUGAUAUAUAUGUAAAUUGAUAAUUUUGCAAGGUUACAUAGUGUAAAAGAUGUAGUUUAUUUGUUAGUAUCAUGCCAUUUCUAUGCUAUGUUAUUUUCAUUUCUUGUUUCUCUAUGUUAGCGUGUUUAAGUUGUCCAAUCUUCCUUCUUUUGUACUCUUUAAUAACAGGGCUCAGACUGUGAUUGAUAUAUUGGUUAAGCAUGCUUUCGACAACAUUGAUCGGUUCACGUGCCGACAACGAGAUGCGAUCGAGAAGCUGUGGGCUUCCAUAAAGGAACAACACAUACGGAGGAAGCAAGGGAAGUCGGUAACUGGGAAACUCGACAUGAAUGCUUUCGAAUGGCUUCAGGAGAAAUAUUCCCACGAGAAGAUCAGCAUCCGGCACGCUGUCGGCGGUGGCGGCGAGCGGCGGGCCGAGCAGUGGCUAGGCUAAUCACCUUUUGUUGAUUCAUUUGAUCAAAGUUUACGCCAAACUGAAGUUCGGUGUAUUCAUGUAUUCUGCGAAACUGAAAUUACCAUCCUAUGUGCAUGUAGCUCUCUCACUUCUCAACUUCCCGUUGAUGGGAAAUUUCAGCUGAUGUUGGUGUUCAUGGUUUAGCAAUUUUUCAUAUGAAUUUGGAGCUUUUAUUCAAAAAUAAGAACUACUGCUAUAGAGUGUCGGUGAAUCGGUAAAAUUCUCUCACAUUUUGGGCCUAAAUGUACGGCCCAUGAAAGUUUCACCAACAAUGGGCUCACCCAGUACAAUUGGGCCCAUUCCCAAAAUAAGCCUAAAUAGCUCUGCUCCCGAUGCUAACACUGUACAAUCGCGCCGCGCUCCUAUCGCCCUGCGCUGCGUUGCGUUCCGAUGGGCUCGGCGUUGCCGCAAACGCGCGCGCGAUGGCCCCCUGCGUUCCCGCCACCGCGAUUCCCACCUCCGCGCAUUUAAACUCCCUCUUCGCGCGCUGCGUCUCCUCGCUCCCCCUCCUCCGCCAACUCCACGCGCGCCUCCUCCUCCUCCACGGCCUCCCCCUCUCCACUGCGCUCGCCUCGCGCCUCGCCCACGCCUACUUCGUCUCCGCCUCCGCCCGCGAUGCGCGCCAUGUGUUCGACCAAAUCCCCCACCGAACCCCGCACGCGUGGAACACCAUGUUCGCCGGGUACUACCGCGCCCGCCUCCUCCCCGAGCUCCUGCUUCUCUACAAGCUCUCCCAUUCCCACAAUCACAGGCCCGAUAGCUUCGCCUUGGCCUUCGCCCUCCGAGCCUGUGCCGGCCUCUCUCUUCUCGGGCCGGGCUCGUCGAUUCACUCGCAGGCGAUCCGGUCCGGUCUCGAUGCGAAUGCGUUCGUGUCGCCUCCGCUGAUGAACAUGUAUGUCGAUUUGGGUUCUCUAGAUGAUGCAGAGAAGAUGUUUAACUGUGUUAAUGUGGCGGAUUCUGCUUGCUGGGGUCUCAUGAUGAAAGGGUAUUCGAGGGCAUCGGUGGAUGAGCAGGUCUUCGAUUUGUUUGGACGGAUGAAGGAAUUGAAGCUCGAAUUGGAUCCGUGCGCGGCGGUGUGUUUAGCUAGGGCUUGUGGGAAUAUUUGCGCCGCUAAAGAAGGGCGGGCGAUUCAUGGUUUCUGCAUAAAAACCAACUAUUUGGAUUGUAAUAUCUAUUUGAAAACUUCUCUGGUCGAUAUGUACGGGAAAAGCGGAUUCAUUGACUUUGCAUUGAAGUUGUUUGAUGAAAUGCCAUCAAAAGAUGUCGUUUCUUGGAGUUCCGUAAUCUCGGGAUUGGCCCAAUGCAGGAGAGGUUAUGAAGCGCUCCGAGUGUUUCGAGAUAUGUUAGAAGAGUCAAUAAUGCCAAAUGAGGUCACAUAUGCCAGUGUUCUUUUGGCGUGCGCUCACCUCGGAGCGUCGUUUCAAGGAAAGAGUGUCCACGGCUUUAUGAUCCGUAGUAAUAUUGAACUAGAUGUGGUUACUAACACUGCCUUAGUUGACAUGUAUGCAAAGUGUGGGUUUCCGUUACUGGCGUACAAGGUGUUUGGUAUUAUGCCCGUAAGGAAUGUCUUCUCUUGGAGCGCCAUGAUUGGUGCGUUCGGUGCACACGGAAUGUACUUGAGAGCACUCGAUCUUUUUGACGAAAUGAGGUCGGCGAAUCUCGCACCUAAUCAUGUCACAUUCGUUUCAGUGUUGUCGGCGUGCAGCCAUUCUGGUAUGGUUAAGGACGGGCGGAUCUAUUUCGAGUCGAUGACAAAGGACUAUAAGAUUACUCCGACAAAUGAGCAUUACUGUUGUAUGGUCGAUCUCCUUGGCCGAGCCGGGCUUAUCGAAGAAGCUCAAGCACUGAUUGAGGAAAUGCCAGUGAAGCCUAGUGCUAGUGUAUGGGGUGCUCUCUUGGGUGCUUGUAGAAUACAUAAGAGGGUAGAAUUAGCUGAGAAAGUAGCUGAGAAGCUCUUUGUUUUGGAGCCCAAUCAGCCAGGAGCUCAUGUAUUGCUUUCUAAUAUCUACGCUGCGGCUGAAAUGUGGGAGAUGGUCAAGAAGACGAGAGACGUGAUGAAUAAAAGAGGACUGCGGAAAACAUUUGGUUAUAGCACGAUUGAAGUCGAUAAAAUGGUCUACAUUUUUAAUGUCAUGGAUAGAAGAAACCGUAAGGACAACGAAAUUUUAGAGUUUUGGCGCGAGUUAAGUAACCAAAUGAAGGAAUUGGGUUAUGUGCCGGACUUAUCGUUUACUCUUCAUGAUGUUGAUGAUGAGAGCAAGGAAGAAGUGCUUUGCGGUCACAGUGAGAAGAUGGCGAUGGCUUUUGGGCUUUUGAGAACCAAAGAUGGUAUACCUUUAAGGAUAACGAAAAACUUGAGAGUAUGUGGAGAUUGCCACACUGCGAGUAAGUUUAUUUCUUUGAUCACAAAGCGGGAGAUAAUAGUGAGAGAUUCUAGGAGAUUUCAUCAUGUUAAAAAUGGUGUUUGCUCAUGCGGAGAUUAUUGGUGAUAAUUGAUAAUGUUUCCUUUUCUGCGUACAACAAAUUUUCUUCAGUUUUCAUCCACUCUUUGCACUUUAUAAGUAUAUAGCUCUAAAAUGACAAAAACUUUUGCCAAGUGUUUCAUCAUUUUGUUAUAGCUAAUGAUGUCUUAUUGACCAAUGACAUGUGCUUGACAUUUAUGACUUAAUGAGCUUCUCUUUCUUGGGAUCUCUCCUCUGUUAUUAUUAUUAUUAUUUUUUGCAGUUCCUUUUCUGUGCCGCUGAAGUGUAGUUAUGUUAAUUAAAUUGCAAAUUAAUUUCUUUGUGUUAUUUAACCUCAAGAAGCUCAUUAUUUACGUCUUUUUCGAGGCCUCAGAACCACUAAACAAGCUGCAAUUUCAUAUUGUGAACCAUCUUAUCUUUUCACCCUCGUCUCCGUGGAUAGUAAUAAACAACUCUUGGAUUAGUGCUUAGAUAAGUUACUUUGGAAGGAUUUAAAGUUGGUUAUAUAUUCACCCACAUUGCCCAUGCCAUCGUCGUGAUUUUACAAUUGGACCAUGAUAUAAGCCCUAAGUAUAACAAAUCCUUAUCAGGUGAUGGGUACCCUAACAUGAAGAAAGCUACACCUAUUAGUAGACCAUCCUAAGUGCGGCGUUCGGCGCGAAAUAUAUAGUUUAUUGGUGAUUACUCCACAAGUCCUCUUAUCUUAUUCUUAACCCAUAUCAUGAAGGCUAUAUAUAAACCCAGAAACCUUCAGAAGAUUUCAAAUAGGGCACCACAUAUUCAACCCCACCAUUAAUUCACUGUUCCCCUGAAACCAGACACUAUACCUUCCUUGUCCCCUGAUCAAAACUUGUAUAUAAACCCCUCUAAACCACUUCUUUUCAAAACCCAAAAGCCGGAUACUAAAAGUCUUUUAGAUGGCCUCUGGAGGUAGCUCUCCGUGUGGUGCAUGCAAGUUCCUCCGCAGGAAAUGCGCGACGGGGUGCAUCUUUGCUCCAUACUUUGGCGCCGACGAGGGACCAGCGCGGUUUGCCGCUAUCCAUAAGGUGUUUGGAGCGAGCAACGCGUCUAAGCUUCUUUUGCAGGUUCCUCUUGCGGAUCGGUGUGAGGCGGUAGUCACUAUCGCUUACGAGGCCCAGGCGCGGAUCAGGGACCCGGUCUACGGCUGCGUCGCCCAGAUCUUUGCUCUGCAACAACAGGUUGAUCUUUCCCUUAGCUAAUUCCUAUUAUAUCAUGUACUUAAUAUAAUUCAUCUAGACAAAUCAAUCUGAUAAGAAACGAUCAAGAAAUAAUUUCAACAUUUUUACAUAAUAUUCUUAACAGUACUGCAAAUUGAUGAACAAGUAAAUCAAUUUAUUCAGAUGUGGGUAAGAUUACAUACGCCUUACCGAUAGUGAUAAUGAAGAGCAAAAAAAAAAAGCUGUGAAAGAACUGUUAAUGAUAACCAGCUCCGGCAUUAGCAGAAGCUUUGUGCACUUGCUCACUUUUUCUUUUUUUAAAAUCUAAUAUUGCUUGUAAUAUAAUGAUAGGUGGCAUUCCUCCAAGCACAAUUGAUGCAGAUGAGAACUCAGUUGGCUUACGGCAUCUUAAAGUCGCAAUCAUCGGAGAAUCAGAUGCGAGAGAGUUGCGACAAUCCUCUACUCCAAUCUAUUCCUAGUCUGAAAACCAUGUGUUCAAAGAGGCCACUUGAUUACAUGGAUUAUAGCUCAGAAGGCGAACAAUUUCAGGAAAUGUGCUUUAAGCAGGAUCUUCCUUUCCAAUAUUCCAGCAAAAAGAUGACACCGCACAACGAGGCUGGGGAGCUCCAAACUUUGGCUCUGAGGAUGAUGAAGAGCUCUUACUCUUCCUAGCAAGGUUUUAUGGAAUUUCGAUGUAAAUAUAAUUACUUCAGCACUUCCAAUGUUUCCUAACGCAAGAUUCGAUUCAAAAGCAGUCGAUGACGCAUUUGUUUAGAUAAGAUAACAUCAAGUUGUAGUUUGCAACUAUGUGCCAUUGUGUUUUGUUAUUGCAAAUUUUGUUUUCAACAGCCAUUGCAACUUGAAUUUGAAUUUUUGGUUUGUUGAUAUGAGGUUUUUCUACUUCAAUGAUGAGAUAUGAUGCAUGUGAUGAUAUUGGUUAUGCAGUUAAUGACAUGGGAUCCAUAACUUGCGGGAUAUGAGGAUAUUAGUUACUAAAUAAACCUGCACAGAAUUAAUUGAUGUCCUAUGGUUUUCCACACUUGACAAGUUAUGUUAUUGUUGGAUAUAUAAUUUCAUAUGAGAUUUGAGGCUAAAAGUAAGUUCUUACAAGGGUGAUCAUAGGCUCUUUGUAGUCCCAUUCAGUGUCAUAUUAUGGGGGUAAAAGGCUAUCAAUAAUUGAAAAAUACCAGGGCUUUUUCCAAGUCUCAAACAUAUAUAAACAAAAUUUUCACUACAUUUAUGAUGAUAAUAUAUAACACACAUAACAUAAUAUAUAGGUCUCAACACUAAAAGAAGGAUUAAUGAAAUUGAGUAGCUCUAUGCAUAGUUACACCGUUUUAUUGAGACACGUGAUUGUCAUAUGCUGAAUUUUAAAGUUUCAAACUUGCGAGUCUUAAUGUGCAACCUCGGUAACAAAAAAAUAGUGAAAUACUAGACUCUGAUCGACGGAAUGAAAAAAUUUAAUCGGAUUAGUAUUUGGAGAGACCAAGUGCUGCAAUAAGUUCAUUAAUUGAUAAAAUGAAUAAAAGUACAUUAUAGAUUACAGAGAACAAUUCAAGAUAACUUACUAAACUUCUCUAAAUCCCAUACCGCAAAAAAAAGAGAAAAUAAUACUAAUAAUAAAUUGUGCAGUAAUUAUGUUACCGAGGAUCGCAUGUUCACACUUGAAAUCCUAGUAGUUUUUAAUGUGCAGAUCUAAAUUAAUGAAAAUUUUAACUGCUUCAUUCGAAACUCUUUUGACUUUCAACAUAUAAUAUUCUCAUGUUUCUAAAAAAAAUUAAGUUAAUAAAGAACUAGACGAAGAAAUUUAUAUACUGGGAUUGAUGUGGCCUAGGACAUAGCUUCUACUUUAUAGGUGGUCCUUCAAUAGGUGUUACGUGCAUUCUAGGAGAAUGAGGAGUUCAAGAAAUACUAGUACAAAAAAAAGUAUUCAAAAAAUACUAGGAAUUGAAGUUACUUUAUUUUUCCAAUGUGGUGAUGAUAAUGGUGACACAUUAUCUUGUAGGACUUCUUUUAUAGUGUUUGCAAAAUUUUUAUUUAAAUUUUGGUUGCUUCUUUAACUCCCAUCUGGAGUUUCUGCCGAAGUGCUGCACUGUUUUGUUUUGUUUUUUUUGUUUUUUUUUUUUUUUCAAAGAAUUUUUGAUGACUUGUCAUCGUGGUGAAGUGAAAAGCCAUUACAAAAACUGCUACAAUCACUUAUUUUUCGUCCACUAUGACGUAAUUUCUUUAUUUUGAUAAGCAAUUAAUGAAUCAGAAACAAAAAAAUCUUUUUUUUUUUUUUCUGUAGCAUGAAAUCAAAAUUAUGAUCAAUUUCUAAACCGUAAAACCAGAAACUCUUGAUAUUAUUUUUUAAAAGUUGGACUACUAAAUAUAUUACUAUUCACAUAUUUCUAACUUUUCAACUCUUGCUUCAACUAUUAUUCUACCUGCCACCGCUAAACAGUAGACGUUCAAUAACUAUAAAAUUAUUAGCAAGUGAAUGAUAAAUAUUUUUAGAAGUAUUUAAGCUCAACUCUACUUUUCCAAUAUCUAUAUCUAUAGAAGCACUUUCGCAGAAGCUCCGACCAAUCAAAUAAACCUUUAGUUCUGUUGCUCUUUUGGUCCUGCAUCAGUGACUUAACCAAUACACCUUGCCUUGGCCCUUGCAGUGCUUUUUUGUCUAAAGUGUGCAGGCCAUAAAACAGGUCAACAAAGCCAUUCUAAUAGUAUUAAUUGCCCCAUUAGUUACUUUAAUCAAUAGAUUACCUCAAAGUUCCCAUUAUUUGCUAAACUUUAUUUGUAUUAGACCCACUAAGAACAUCUUUAUCAAUACCACUGAAUCAUAAUACAAAGGAAAACAAUAAAACUCAAAAAUGAAGAGGCUAAGGUGAGUCAAAUUAAAUUAAGUAGCAAAUGGAUGUACUAAAGCCUAAUUUGUGAAGUGGAAAGUGAUCAAAAAGAGAGUCAACCAAGCACUUGAGUUGGUCUACUCCAACCAAAUCUGAUAUUUGUUAAUGAUAAUUUAAAAAAGACAAAAAAAAGGAAAAAAAAAAUGAUUGGAGUGAUCCUAGUGUACCCAGCAAUUUAAUUUUCCCCAACAGAGACAAAUUAUUAUUAUUUUUUUCAUAUUUUUAAUAUAUAUCCAAUUAAUAAUAAUGGUCGACACCAUCCACUAAUGAAUUAAACUAUUCCUUCAAAAAAAAAAAAAGUAUGCAAGCAUGAAAAGUACCUAAAUUGUUUUAGGGUGAGAAAUUUUUAUUUGCAAUUGUAUAUAAUUAAUCAUAGCAUGACACUGAUCCAAAGCUUAUUGGAUUUUAAGUUUUGAUUAUUCAUUGAUCCUAAUCGUAUUCGACCCAUUAUCAUUUUUUGCAUAUUUUCAUAUAUUUGUUGCUCAUAAAUGUGCAAAUUUUCCAAUUUUCAUAAACAUAAAAAAAUUACAAUAUGUAGUAAAAUGUAAGGCCAAACCAAUUGCAUGCGUAUAAACCUGAUUAUGAUUGUUAAGCUCAAGUUUAGACCUUAUUCACAUGUAUCGAAACAUUAAUUCAAUGGUUGAUUAAUGGGACAUUAAUUUCCUUAUUUGGACUCGGAACUGAGUAAGUUCAAGCUCAGUGAAUGAUUCAGAGGUCUCGAAUCAAACCAUUAUGUUCAGUGAACCGUCAUCGGGCUCGAACCAUAUGAGUAUUGAAUGUCAUAGAUCACCUUUUAUGGCCCGGCCCUUGCCUCUGUUCCAAAAUGUCACGUUGUUUCUGUCAAACCAAACCGUGCACCUGAUUAACUCUUUUUCCUUCUUCAUAUAUACAUCAUUAUCUUUCUUUAGUAUAUGAUGUUUUAUCUGUACCUCACUUAGGAAACAAUAUAAAAAACGGAUAUUUGGAAAAACACAAAAAAAAAAAAACACCACUAGUGAAUAAGUAAUCUAUGGUCUCUAAAUAAUCCUUGUGUAAUACACACAAAUGAUUUACUAGAUUAANCCACUAGUGAAUAAGUAAUCUAUGGUCUCUAAAUAAUCCUUGUGUAAUACACACAAAUGAUUUACUAGAUUAACCUUGCUUCUACAAGUUAUCGACUGUGAGAAUUCUUUUCUUUAAGGCUAGUUAAAGUGUUAAACAAAGAAUUUUAUUUUCGCAGAUGUUUUUAAUUAAUUUCCAUAGCGAGUGUCCCUCACUCCUCUUUUUUUUUAAUCAGUAAUGCGUAAAAUUUAAUAAACUAGAAAGAAAUUCUUGCCAAGUACUUCAUCUAAAUAGAUAGUUUCCUAUGAACUUCCUUUCUCUUCUUCUUCUUCUUGUUGAUGUUGUUAAAAUGAUAUUAUUUAGAGCUUAAGCUUUGAAAAAACAAAAAGGAUUAUUCACAAGUAUAUAUCUAUCGGAAUAGAGGGCCGGUCUUAAAUUCGAAUUCCACACGACUUCUAGUUCACUGUCCUAAAAUAUAUAGAGUAAUUUUCAUAUCAUCGCAUGAAUAAUCACCCACUCAAUCUAAUAAUUGCAAUUUUUUAUGUAUGGAAUCCGUUAAGUGCAUUGAAAUGAGAGGUGAUUGAUGAGGAAUUCGAUCACAACCUCACAUAAUAGAGGAUUUAAGAUAGAUUUUGAUAAUAAAGUGUCUUAUAAUUUAAAAAUCAUGUGUUGAAAUCUCUUCAUCAAAAAAGAAAAAAAGAACAGAAGCGGCAAAGAACUUGAUAGUUGGUAUCUGAGGUCUCAAGUUCGAAGCCUAAUUAUUUCAUAUUUUCAGCUAAUUUUAUUUUUAAAAAUAAUAAAUGAAAUGAAUAGCAUGCUACCUUUCCUCUGGGGAAAAAAACAAAAAAAAAGCAAAGGGAAAGCUAAUUUUGUUUAACAUAAACAAGUUAUUUUAAGGUGUCCUCCACACAUGGUUUCUGAGCAAUCCCCAAAUGCAUUAAAUUUUCCUCAUUAGCACCAUUUUGAACAACAAAAUCUAGAAUCUAGAUAAAUAUAUAUGAAUUGAACGAUCUAAUUUCUCUUGUAGUUUUUGCUUGACUAAAUGAUAGUACACACAUCCAACAAGUUGAACCCAACCCUUCUCUAACAAACAAAUAUAUAUGUAUAUAUAAUAUGUAGGGAUUCAUCAAUUUCUUGGAUAUUCGCUAGCUAGUUGGCAAAACUGCACCUAAAUUGAUCAUCGAUAGUUUUGCAUAGAGAAUCAUCACACACAUGCCCGACGAACUGAUGUCGUCGAUCGACUCAAUGACCGUUAAUAUAACCGAAUGCGACCGAUCGAAGAUCCUCACCCAUGGUGCAAUACGAUUUGUCAUCCAUGUCGAGAGAGACGUGAUCGCCGUUGGCGAACCACUGGGUACCGUUGCAGGCACGAGAAUCGUAAAAGGUGGUCGAAUCGAGAAGCCCGUUGUUGUCGAUGAAUAUGUUUUCGCGAUCGUUUGAGACCGAGGGUUGAGGCAUUCGAAGAUCCCCAUCCGGCGGAAACAAGAAGCCCUGCUCGUGACCGCGGCUUUGCGCCGCUUGCGCCACGAGAGAGCUCAGCUCAGCUUGUAGAUUCACCACCUACAUGAAAAGAAGAACAUUAAUUACACAUUCGUGAGCAAUACAUUCAGGGUCCCAAACCUUCUAAAAAAAGUUCACUUUAAUUUUCAAACUUUAAUUCGUUACAGUUGAGUUACAAAUUUGACGGUAAAUAUCACAUCGAAUUGAUUAGACAUUUUGUGAAUCUAGGCAUAGUGCAAUUUAUACAUGUACCCUCUCACUCACUUGUUGUUGCAAGGCGAAGAUGUGCGCGACACAGCCGUAGAUAGGGUCGCGGAGCCUGGCCUGAGCCUCGUAGGCGAUGGUGACGGCCGCCUCGCACCGAUCGCCGACGGGAAGGUGCAUGAGGAGCUUCGACACGUUGCUGGCCCCGAACACCUUGUGGAUCGCCGCGAAGUGCGCCGCCCCUUGCUCAUGAGCAAAGUAAGGGGCAAAGACACACCCCCUCACACACUUCCUCCUCAGGAACUUGCACGCCCCGCACGGCGAACCGAACCCCGCCAUCGCAGUUUCGCUACUUCUCUUUUCUCGUAGCCUCUCGAGAUUUCGAUGUUUCUGUAUAUUUCUGUGUCUUCUUCUUCUUCUUCUUCGUCCUUUGAUGAAAUAAACAUUUCCUCAAUUAUUAUUUAUAAGAUGUAGGAUGAGGAUGUGCAUGUAACACAUUGCUUUGAGUAAUUUAUUUGUGAUUGUCUCCUUAAUGGGCUACAUAUUUUACGUUUUUAAUUAUAUAUAUAUAUUUUUUCUUUUGCCAUGUAAUGACCCUCGUUGAGUCAUUUUAAUAAUUACCUUAUCUCUAUUAAUUUGUACACUCGUUUAAGAUUUUAUUUUAUUUUAAGGGACCCAAGCUAGAGACAAAAGGAGGUGACACUGACCCAACUGAUGAUCAUUAUGGUUGUUAAUUUAACUUAUUAAUUAUCCUUGUUUAUUUUGUGAUCUAAUUACUCAGCAAUUAAUUAAGAAGAAACUUUUGCUUUGUACAUAUUCUACCAAUAACAAUUUAUGUUGAAAUUUAACUGAUCUGUAUAUUCUACGAAUGAUAUGGUAGACCGGGUCCACGCAUCAAUUUCUUUUGUAGCAAAAUUAAGCUAUAAUUGAUGAAAUUAAUAAUGCACGUUCCUCAAAGCAAAUAGAUUAAAAUUAUAAGCGACCCUUUUGGGCCCAAAUGCAUGGGUCCGUGAGCGCGUUUAAUUUGGUCAAUAGGUUCGGCGCCGAAUCGGAACGAGACCAACUUUUGGACACGCUCGAUCGGGGUUGUAAUUUUGCAUGCAAAAGUAAUAAUAAUAAUAAUUAUUAUUUCCUGGAACACAUAUUUAACAAUUAAAAAAUUGUCACACGCACGAUUUGGAGUUUUUAUUUACUCUCUCCUCACCCUAAAAAAGGAGAUUUUUAUUUAUUUAUUUAUUUAUUUUUGGUGCUACGUGCAUGGUCCACCUACUAGAUUAAUAUUGUGUUUAAUUACUUUUCACAAACUUGUUCGUCCAAUUUGACAUGUAGUUAUAGUCCUAACACAUGCACUAAUCGUUUUCAAUUAACGUUGCGUGCCGCAUAUGCAUAGAACUCGACACGUGGACCCACCAAAAUUAAUUAUAAAGUACAAGUUACGCACCCACAUGCAGUGGAUUAAUUGUUAAGAAAUGUGCAUCAGCAUCAUACUGUAAUUACUUAUUAUAAUAAUAAUUAUUAGGCUCCUACUCCAAUUAUCUUUGCAUACAUUUUUAUCUUUGGACGCAUCCAAUUAACAAACCCUAGUUUUUUUUAAAAAAUUUUCCGUACACUAUAUAAGAUGUAAGAACAUUGACAUUAGUGCGAAUUAGCAUUGCAGUAUCACACUAUUGAUACAAAGACCAUAAACCAAAAUAUCAUUAAUCAAUAGUAACUUAAUUUGCUUGUUCAUUUUGGAGUAUACUUUACCUAAAAACAUAUUUUAAAAAUUAGAAAAGGUGAAAAAUGCUCAUUGCUAUUGCUCACCAGCUGUUUGGCCUAUUUAUUUGCCUGCCACCAUGAAAACAUGCUUUUUUUUACUUCUACUUCUUGAUUUGAUCUCACUUGUACCAAUUAAAAAACAACAUGCAUUUUUCCAUGAUAUUGAUCAUGGAGAAAUUUAUAAAGCUACUAUUGUUCGAAAAGCAUAUAAUAGGUGGUUGGUUGAAUAGUAUGAUUUAAUGGAUGAAAAUGAUUAAAAGGAUAGAUCUAAGGGUAAAAAAUUUACAAACACUAAGUGCUUGGUGCUUUUACAAGCACCAUAGCGCGCUAGACUAUAUAUAUAUAUAUAUAAAUAUAUACAACUCAUGCAAAUUAAUUUACCUAAAGUAUGCUUAAGAUAUAUGUAACACUCUUCUAGAGUACUAGACCUAGGGAUUCACAUACUCUCUCACUUCUUUGGUACAUAAUUAUACCAAUCUAAAGUUAAAGAUAUCUAAGUGGUAUCUUACUAAUCAUUUAUUAGUUUGGUGCAUUAGUAACUUCAAGGAAUUAAGCUCAACUUUGAAGAGUUUGAUCAAUUAUAUGUGCACUUGCACAUAUUUAUAUCUAUUUGUAGUAUGCUUAAUGCCGAUACUUUUUCUGGCAUCUAAACUUAAAUACUUUUUGAUAGGUUUAAACACAAACUCUAAUUAAAGCAGGAAGAGAUUAAAUAAGGUUAGGAGCACCAUGAGAUUUAAACUCCGAAGUUUUUAUUUUUAUGCUUUGUGAAACACAAAAUUACUCUAAAUUUGUGAGGCAACAGUAUCUUAAUUAUUCAUAUUCCACAAAUAUUAAUUAAGAAUAAUCGGAUAUUGCGUCGUACGUGUAAUUAAUUAAUUACAAGGCCGUUCGCGGUUGGUGGUCAAAUUUGGCAUUAUGUGAGAACAAAUAUAGAGGGAGGUGGUAGCAUAUAUAAUGACGUGUAAAACAACUAUACAAAUAAUAAUAUAUAUAAGUAUAUAAUCAAACAACUAUAUGUUUAAUAAUAGUAUAAUUACCUAUAAUAUAUAAUAAUAUAAUUAAUCAUGCAUCCAUCAAACUUUAUUCAUACAAGCUACAAAUCUUUCGAAGACCAAGCAACGCGACGGACAAGUCACGUGCGAGUCCAAAUGCACGUGCGUGCAUGCAUAUGAUUCGAACCCUCAUGCAUGUUCACGUGAUACAUAUGUGGGCUCUCUCAGCUUAGUUAAUUUCUGCGCGGAAAAAUUAGUCUCUGUUAAAAAAAUUUAGUUUAUGUGUAAUGUAAUCUAAGAUGGAACUUGAUUCAUUUGGUUCAAAUCAUUUGAUAUUUUAACUCAUAGCAUGUGCUCGAUCGACAAGUAAACUAUGUAGGAUCGUAGUUUCUCCUCGACCUACAUGGGACUCGAGAGCGAUUGCCAAACCACUCCGGGAGCAGAGACGGUCGCACAGUCGACGCUGCUUCACGACCACGGGACAUAACACGAUCACCUCGCUUUCGGUGCCAUGCAAGGUAUUUUAGGUGGCUUACUAAAUUAUUUUUAUUUCAUUUUACGUGAGAAAUAGGUCCUUAAAUUUGGAUUAAUUAAUUAGAUGUGGAUGUGGAUGUAUUUGUCUCGUACUGAGGCAGAUUUUCUAAGGCUAGGACCCUUACUUAUAUUCAAAUUAGAAAUGUUGGUUACAAAAAUGCAUGCAUAUAUAGUUCUUCAAGUGGAGGUGAUUGUGAUGGCUUGGAGUUUGCAGAAGCACUUUAGUAAGAAGCCACUAGAUCCUUAGAAUUCAAGUAGCUACAUAUGCGGAGAUUAGUUGGAGAAGCUAUAUGUAUAUAUAUAGAGAGAGAGACAGAGAGAGAGAGUGAAAGAGCGCUAGGCUGGUAUACUAUCGAUAGCAGAGAAGUCUCCGUGCUAUUAAAUUUUUUCAAUAACGUAGCUUCCAAAUUGACGACCAGCUCCGUUAGACUUGAUCUAUAUUAUUGAAAGUAUUUGAAAAUUAAAUUUCAUAAUUUUUCGAUAUUAUUUAGCUAAUCAUGAUCCAAAGGUCUCAAAAUUGAUAAUUUUAAUGGUUGAUGUGAUGCGUUUGUGAAUUUAACGGUAUAAAACAAUUCAAAUCUGAUAAAAUAUUUAUAAAAAAUUCUUUGAUAUAUUUAGAGUAAAAUUAUUAUUUUUAAUUUUAAAUUCAAGUCUUUUAAUAGUGUAAAUCAAGUCUAACGAAACCGAUUAUCCAUUUGAAAGUCGCAUUAUUAAAAAUAACUUGGUAGCACGGAAACCUUCGUGCUACCUAUAAUAUAUCUGCCCCACUCUAGGACUCUCUCUCUCUCUCUCUCUCUCUAUAUAUAUAUAUAUAGAUGACUAUUUGCAUAGCUCAUAUAUAUAGGUCCUUGACUCGUGGGGUGAUGGUGUAUACAUAAAUAAAAAAAUUAAAUGGUUCAUUAAUUAUUUUGUUUAUGCAUUUUGAUUACGCGUGCGGUGUACGAAACACGUAGGAGGAAAGAAAAGAAGAGCUUUGUCUCUUCGGUAGAUAUAUUAUAUUAUACAAUGAAUUAUGAUAUAUAUACUAAAAUUAAUUGUAGGACUUGAACAAGGCACAUGCAUGGAUGUGGUGGCAUCCAAUAUAUUUCUCCCAUAUAUUUUUUUACAAACAUUUACUCGUAUCAACGAAAAUAUUCAUACCAACUAUGUUAAGUACUUUUGAACUAGCUAGAUCCUGUAAUAUUGUUCCUAUUGUAGAUUGUGUAGCAUUUUACGAUGCUUUUAACAUUUGUGCAGAUUGAAAGAUAACGGUAGAAAAGAAUACAUUUAAGAAGAACAUUCUAAUAGGAUGUACCACUGCAUUUAGCUUAAAUAUGAAUUUGGUUAGGGCUUGUUGGUCGCUACUGUAAGGUGCAGUCCUACAGCAAAAGGCACAAGAUCGAACUUAGAAUUGUUUUUCUCUAGGGCUCGAUAUUACAUUUCGAUAUUAUAUUUUAUAUGUAUAUAUAUACACACACACACACACCGUAGAAACAAAAGCGGCGCCAAAUUAGCCUAUCAAUUGCCACAAAAUGUUCAAGUGAUCCCUUUUAGCCCAAAAACAAGAUUCAAAUAAUGAUGGGUCUUAAUUAGCGGGCCACGAUCCAAUCACUUUAUUUGGACUUGGUGGGCCUUAUCCUAUUGUGUUGACUUUAUUUGGACUUGGUGGGCCUUAUCCUAUUGUGUUGAAUGAGAUCCAAUACUAUAUAUAUGCUGUAACAGAGAAAUGCUUUAAAUGGAUCUUUCAAAAUAUAGCACUUACUAACUAAUAAAAUCCAUUAAGUUAUAAGUCAUCGACAAAGUUGCGGUGCGUAUUCUUCCAAUUACCCAGAACAAAAAGACAAAAAAUUUGAUGGAACUAGUCUACAGUCAAUUUGAUAGACCGAUUCCACCAAAUAAUCUGAGACUUGGAAACUACUGAAAAUAUGGUACCCAACUACUACCUCUCCUCGCCACUAAUCAAAAUUUAGUAUUAAUAAAUAAUUUACAAAUAAACAAUUUAGUAAAACAAUCAGUAACUGUAUUAAAUAUAAAUUAUUUUUAACAAGUAGAAUUGAAGAAUUAAGAAUUUAUAACUAAUAGCGGUAAUAAGAAUUUGAUCAGUAGUAAAGAUCGUCAAAUACUGUAAAAAAAAAAAAGUUGAAACGAAAAUAUAUAGAAAUAUACUCAUCUAUUUUUAAUUAAAACAUUAAUUGCUUCUGAAAAUAAACAAAAUAUUUGUAAUUGUGCUUUUUCAUUGGUGUAAUGGAGUCAGAGAUAGCUUUGAACUUAAUAAGGUAAAAUGAUGUAAUCAUUUUAAGGAGAUGGUAAAUAGAAAAGAAUAAUGAUAAAUUACAAACACUGAUUACAAAACGAGCUACAGUUGAGGGGCCUCCAGUCACAUUUUGAAUGCUGACAUUAUUCAAGAAAUUAGUGCGUUAGGUAGAUCCAUCGUCUUGUUAGUUGCUAAUUUCUCCGUGGCGUGGAGAGAGAGGGAGAGAUCUCUCCCUCUCCCUCUCCCUCUCCCUCUCCUCUCUCCCAUCCAUGGCGUCUCCGCCGCCCCCAAUCCGAAUCCUCCGCCGCAUCUCCAUCUCCCCUCCGGCGUCCUCCGCCGCCGCCUCCCUCCCCCUCACCUUCUUCGACGCGGCGUGGCUCUUCACCGGGCCCAUCGAGCGCCUCUUCUUCUACGCCCUCCCCCACUCCACCUCCCACUUCGUCGCCCACCUCCUCCCCCAACUCGCCUCCUCCCUCUCCCUCGCCCUCCUCCGCUUCCCCCCUCUCCUCGGCCGCGUCCGCCCCGCCGGCGCCACCGCCGACGACGUCGACUUCGCCUUCGCCUUCUCCUCCUCCGACGACUCCGUCCCCCUCACCGUCGCCGAGAGCUCCGACGACUUCGACGCGCUCUCCAGCCCCGGCCCCCGCGACUUCGCGAAUCUCCACGCGCUGAUCCCCCCACUGCCCCGACCCGGCGACGGCUCGAUCCCGCUCACCGCCGUGCAGGUCACCGUGUUCCCCCGCCGCGGCGUCGCCCUCGGGAUCGCCAUCCACCACGCGGCGUGCGACGACUCGAGCUUCCUCCACUUCGUCAAAUCCUGGGCCGCCGCGUGCAAGCUCGGCGGCGCGGUCGGGCUCCCGCUCCCGCUCCCGUUCCCGCCGCCCCCCUCCUUCGACCGCGGGGCGAUCCCCGAUCCCGCGGGCCUGCGCGCCAAGACCCUCGCCGAGCUCACCCGACUCGCGGCCCACGGCCCGCCUCCGCCGGAGCCCGAACCGGCCCGGCCCAACGCGGUCCUCGGGUCGUUCUGUCUGGGCCGGGCCCAAAUCGAGCAGCUGAAGAGGGGCCUGGUGGCGAAGGCCCGGGAGAGCGGGGCCGCGGUGCACUGCUCGUCGUUCGUGGUGGCGUGCGCCUUCGCGUGGGUGUGCCUGCUGAGGGCCCAGGAAGGGCACGCGGCCCAGGAGGAGAGGGCCCACUUGCUCUUCUCCGUGGAGUGCAGGGCCCGCCUGAGCCCGCCGAUCCCGGCCGAGUACUUCGGCAACUGCCUGCGCCCGUGCUUCGUGGAGGCGGCGACGGAAGCGCUUCUGGAGGAGGCGGGCGGCGUGUCGGAGGCGGCGCUGGCGAUCGGGGAGGCGAUAAAGGGCCUGGAGAGGGGCGGGGUGUUGGAGGGGGCGGAGGGGUGGCUGGGCCGGAUCCUGGGGCUGGUCCCGGCCCGGCCCAUGUCGGUGGGGGGAUCGCCGAGGUUUAGGGUUUACGACGCGGAUUUUGGGUGGGGGAGGCCGAGGAAGGUGGAGCUCCUCUCCAUCGCGAAGACCCCCGGGACGAUCUCGCUCGCCGAGAGCGGCGCCGCCGCCGGGGACGACGACGCCGACGCCGGGGNCAUUGUAUAAUUCUUUAAUUCUUAUGUGGAGAAUGUUCAAUGUUGUGUGUUUUGAUUUUAUCGGUUCUUUUAUGUAUUGCUGCAUAGAAUAGGGGUUUUUUUUUUUUUUUUUGUAUUGCACAGUGUGCUUAAAAGUGAGAUGUUUUUCUUAUUUAAAAAAAUUUUUUUUAUAUAUAUUAUAUUAGAAAAAUUUAAACCCGUAUUUUUCCUUAGUGAAGUGAGGCUGUAAAUUUUCGCGUAGAGUGUCCUCGGCAUCUUCGAAGACCCUCUUCGUCUCCGCCUUGCAGAGGUAGAGCACCGCCCCCUCGUGCUGGGGCUAGAGCUAGGGGGGCCGCAGCCGCAGCAGCAGGGGCCGCCGCCGCGGCGAGAGCCGCUCGCUCUAGCAGGGCCCCCAGAAGCGCUACCUCUCCUCGAGGUGGAAGGAGCCGGAGGGGGUGGGUUUUAGGCGCAGCAUUUGGGAUUUGGAGCCGCUAGGGGGGUGGCUGUACCCGGCCCGGCCCUGGUCGGGGUCCUAGGCCGGGUCGGUGGGGAGGCGGGGGAGGUUGUGAAUAAAUAAAUAAAUAAAUAAAUGAUCAACAUUAUUAUUGAUUGUAAUUAAGUUCUCAUUAGCUUCUAUUCGUUUAGUUUUAUUAUUAUAAUUACUUUCGUCCAUUUCUAAUGGCAGCUCUAAUUUUAUUAUAAGUCAAAUUAAUGAAUAUUAUAUUGUGCUAAAUUUAAUUAAAUUUAUUAAGUUAUUAAAAAUUUAAUUUAAUAAAUUUAUUCAGCAGCAUCAAUCAAAAAUUCAAAACUAAUAUAUGCCUAUAGUUAGGCCCUGUUUGGAUGGUUAUUUUUUUGGAGUAAAGUAUAAUUAUGCCAUGGGUAUAGGAAAAAUAUCCUAAGAGGUGUUUGGAUGCUUCAAAAACAUCCCAACAAAAUAGGGUAUAGUUAAACUAUACCCUAAAAAACAGGGUAAAACUAAAAUCCAAUAUUUUCUCUGGAAAAAAAGUUACGCCAUUUUUUUCGGACCGCAUCCCAGCUCGCUCGACUCCUCUCGGGCGUCUCUCUUCCUUCCGUUGCCCUCUCCACAGUUUUCUCCCUUCGCUGCUGCCGCUCUCACCUCAACCGCCGUCGCCGCCGCCGCCGCCGUGGCGGCCACCGCCGCUGCCCCUCUGGCCCUUCUCGUCCCUCGCCCCUCGCCCCUCUCGUGGAUCUCGGCCACCGCCCCUCGCCCCUCUCGCCCCUCACCCCUCUCGCCCCUCUCGCCCCAGUCGCCGCAGCCGCCGUCGCUACCGCAGUCACCUCGGCCGCCAUUGAGUUCUUGCCUCAGUCUUUUCUCACCGACGCCAUACCCUCAUGACCCGUCCCCCAUCGUCCCUCGCCUUGCGAUGGCCAGAGAGGCGCCACCCCACUUUCCUCCUCCAACAGGCAAAGAAGGAGUCGUCAAAUUUUUUGUUUUCCCAAUAGAUUCCAUUUUGAAGGAAUCAUCAGAUUUUUUUUUUUUUUGGUUUUUUUUUUCUUUCCAAUAGCUUCCAUUCUAGAAAGCUAAGAAACCAAACUUUAAUUUGAUUUCUGUGGAAUCUUCGGAUCAGCAAGUUUUUGAUUCGGAUCUAAGAACUGCUCUAUGUUUUUAAUUUAGAUUGUUGUCAUAUGUGUUUAGUAUAAUUUAGUAGAAAAUAUUGCUCCAGUAGAACAUUUUUGCAAUAUCUUUUAUGUGAAUAACUUAGGUAACCGGUAAUUCCAUUUAGCAAUUUAAUUGCAUCUGAGAUAAGAAUUGCAAAACGGAAAGUGUGUUUUCUACUCCGAAAGAAAAAAUAGCCAAUACAAAGAUAUAAUUAGAGAAUUUAUAGAGAAUUUUUGUGUUCAAUGUAAGCUAGAUGGUCAAUUUGUGUUCAAUUUGUGUUCAAGAUGUAAGCCCUGUAGAAGCUAGAUGGUCAAUUUGUGUUCAAUGUAAGCUAGAUGGUCAAUAUGUUUAGCCCUGUAGAAGCUUCAGUUUGUGUUCAAUUUAUUCCUUUUGUAAUUAUUUUGUUCAUAUUUGUAUUCAUAGUUAAUAAUUUAAAUUUAAAUUUUAAACUUUUAUUUUAAAUUUUUAGAUUUUAAAGUUAUUUAAUAGUUAAUAAUUUAAGUUUAAACUCCCAAGGAUAAUUUUUAAAGAUUAUCAGAAAUCCUAUAGAAUUAUAUAAUGUGUAUCCAAACAGCUUUUAAAAUAAACCCGUGGAAUUUUUUUGGAGUUACAGGAUACUCAAUUUCAUUUGAACCAAAACUACGGUAUUUAAACUCCAUGGAAUUUAUUUACUGCUCAUCCAAACAGGGCCUUAGUGUGCUAACGCCCGUUAAUUUCCCUUAUGAUGGCGCCAACGGCUUUUGACGGCGAAACCGCUACUCCUCCCUCCUACUUUCUCCCCGAAAAUGUACCCAAGCAUCUCCCGCUAGGGUUUUAGCCAAACCAAACCCUAAUCCCAAGUAUCCCUCUCCUCUACCUCCCACCUCCCACCUCCCCAUCGCCAUGAUAGGAGCUUCUUCUCGUCGCCUCCUCCUCUCCACCCUUCUCAAAUCCAAACCCUUUCUCCGAAGCCUCCCCAAACCUCUCCUCUCCUCCUCCAUUCCCCCUCCCCAUUCCCCUCUCUCCUCCUCCGCCAAAACCCUCUCCUUUCCCCUCGUAAACCCCCGUUUCCUCCACCCCUCGCCUCGCGCCCUCCAAACGUGUUCCCAAAACGCCCCUCCCCUCUCCCCUCGGCAGCGGAAGCUCCAGGAAAAAUCCGACCUUGAGGAGGCCUUCGAAUCCGCGACCAACACGGAGGAGAUCUUCGGCGCCUUUGAAGCCCUAGAGUCCGCUCUCGACCCCAGCGACAAGAAGCUCGGCCUCGCGUGCUUGAAGGUAGGGCAACAUCUCGAUGCGACCGGCUCACCAGACCACGAAAAGGUCCUCAAUUUCGGCCUCAGAGCCCUCCGUAUCCUCGAUUCCGGCGGCGAAAGCUCCGUUUCGGUGGCCAUGGCGCUUCACCUGGUCGGUUCGGCCUGUUUCGAGCUGAAGCGGUUCAAUGAUAGCCUGGGGUUCCUUAACCGGGCCAAUCGGAUUCUUACUACCUUAGAAAACGAGGGUUCCGGUGAUUUUGAUGUCCGCCCGGUGAGCCAUGCGGUUCAGCUCCAGCUUGCCAACACGAAGACCGCGAUGGGACGGAGAGAAGAAGCCCUAACUAACCUCAGGAGGUGUUUGGAGCUCAAAGAAUCGAUUUUGGACCCCAAUAGUCGCGAAUUGGGUGUCGGAUAUCGGGAUUUGGCCGAGGCGUAUGCUGCGGUUUUGAAUUUCAAAGAGGCUUUGCCACUUUGUUUGAAGGCUUUAGAGAUUCAUAAGGCACAGUUAGGGCUCAAUUCGGUGGAGGUGGCCCAUGAUAGGAGGCUUCUCGGGGUUAUUUAUACUGGUUUAGAGGAGCACGAGAAGGCAUUAGAGCAGAACGAGCUCUCGCAGAAAGUAUUGAAGAAUUGGGGAAUGGAUUCGGAUCUUUUACACGCGGAAAUUGACGCCGCCAACAUAAAGAUUGCUUUGGGGAAGUAUGAAGAGGCCGUUAACACUCUGAAGCGGGUGGCCGAACAAUCUGAGAAGGAGAGUGAGACGAGAGCUUUAGUGUUCAUUUCGAUGGCGAAAGCCUUGUCUAACCAAGAGAAGGUUGAGGAUUCAAAGAGGUGUUUAAAAAUUGCAUGUGGAAUUCUCGAAAAGAAAGAAUUAAUCUCCCCCGCCAGGGUUUCCGAAGCUUACGUUGAGAUAUCAUCUUUGUAUGAGGCUGUGAAUGAGUUUGAUACAGCUAUAUCACUCUUAAAGAAGAGUCUUUUUAUGCUUGAGAGGCUCCCGCAAGAGCAACACAUGGAAGGGAAUGUGGCGGCGAGGAUAGGGUGGCUACUUCUCUUGACAGGGAAGGUGGCAGAAGCUGUACCUUAUUUAGAAAGUGCUGCUGAGAGAAUGAAGGAGAGCUUUGGGCCAAAGCACUUUGGGGUGGGCUAUGUAUAUAACAACCUGGGCGCAGCUUAUAUGGAGAUGGACCGGCCUCAAUCGGCUGCGCAGAUGUUUGCUCUCGCAAAGGAGAUCAUGGAUGUCUCCUUGGGCCCGCAUCACACAGAUUCGAUUGAGGCUUGUCAGAGCCUCGCGAAUGCUUACGCUGCAAUGGGAAGGUACUGAUUGAUUAUCAUUUUAAACUCAAAGUUCUGAUUUAGUGUGAUUUUUUUUUUUUUCCUGAGGAAAUGGAAUUGGACCAGUAACUCUGGGAAGAUUUGCAAUGAAUGACACAAAAUGUCUGGUUGGGUCUUUGUAGUGUGAUAUUUUCGAGGCGAAAAAAUAAGCCAACCAACUUAAGCUUGAUGAUUAGGUCAAAUUAACUUUGGUCAGCAUUCAGCUUCUUUUACAAUAUGGUCUGAAGUCUUGAACUCAUUUUACCACUGGUGCAAAAAUUUGAGUCGUGAAAAAUAAAGCGUAGAAAAUGUAUAUGUAGAGUUAUAGUUCAUAAGAAAGAUCGUAGAUCUGAAGUUGUCCCCACAUGUCAUGUGCAUCUCCUCAUAUAUAGAUUACUUUCUUAUGCCGGACUUUAUAUGCCAAAACAUCUUUUUAAGUCAAAUGCUCAAGGUUGCUUAUUUUCAUGAUAAUUAUUUUCUAAUUUUCUCUUUUUUUAGUUUUUCAUUUCGUUGUAGCUAAUAUUGUCAACAGGUGUUGGCUUUUCUUCUUUCAUCUGUUGGAGACUAUCAGUUUAACAUUUUAAACUUGUUCAAUAGUUUCAGCCAAUACUUCUACGAGAGCAAACAGUCUAACCUUUCCUUUUGGGGCAAUAUUUGUAUGGUGAUUAAUGUGGUGCCUUUCUAAGUGCAGCUAUGCCCUUGCUUUGGAGUUCCAAAAACGAGUCAUCGAUGCAUGGGGAAACCAUGGCCCGAGUGCAAGAGAUGAGCUAAAAGAAGCUAAUCGACUCUAUGAUAAGCUUAAGAAAAAGGCCUUUGCAUCUCUGUCUGGUGCAGUUCCAGAGGAAGAUUCAGUGACUCAGCGUGAGGGAAGUGACACUGAUCCUCCCAAGAUGAUGCAUCAAUGAUGCCGGAGGUAAACUUAAGGUUACAAUUGGAGAUGCGUAGAUUUUCGUGCUAGUCUAAAUCUAUCCGAUGGAUUGAAAGAGAAUUCAACACACUUGUCUUUCACCUAAGACUAUGUUUCUAUAGUCUUGCAUAGCCUGAUAUAUGAUUGAUUUUUGGAUCAAGAAUAAUACCAUGUUGAAGAUUGAUUUUUGAAAUUGUUUGUGAAUAUAGUUUGGAGUAUUGAUCUUUACCUUGUCUCCUCUAUGUAGUAGUCUAGUUUCAAUUUUGCAUCCGGCGAUUUAAAUUGUAAGCUAUCCUCCGUUUAAUGUUCUUGCUUCUUGAUAAGAGUUUGCCAUUAAAAUGUUGUUAAAAGUAGGCCCAUGCAAUCACAUGAGAAAACAAAAUUCACUAUCUUUUUAUACAUAGGGAAAGAUUUCUUGUUCCAUAUCUAACUGUUUGACAACCGUGAAUUUCGAGUAACUGGCCAAGCUGCUAAAGUUGCUAAAGUAGUGAUAAAUCCUGUCAGUAAAAUGGGUCCUAUGGAAAGUCCAUCGAUUCCUAGUCUCCAGUGGAAAUCAAAAACAUCUAUCCAUUUAGAAUCUUCCUUCAAUUGCAUUAAUGGAUCAUCCAAUUGGAAAUGAUAACCGAAUGCAUAAGUCGUUAGAAGGAGUUCUAACAAGCAUAUACAUAAAGUAUACCACCUAAACAUCUUAUUCCCUCUAUGAGGGAAAAAGAAAAUUGAAGAACGGUUGGUACUUGGUUUUAUCUUCUCGAUUAGUGCUCAAUAAAAGGAACCAAUUGUUAUGAACAACAAAAUGGUUAUAAGUGCCGAAAAGCCCGUCCUCAAAAUAAUAUAUUUUGUUGAGCACGGGCUUUUGUCGGUAAAGAGGAAUCACAAAUGAUUCAAGUGGAGUUUUUUGUAACGUAUCAAUAAGAUAGAGCCAUGCUGCGAGUUGUUUCAGGCCCUAAAUAAACACGGACACUCAAAAAAUCUGUUGGGCAGGCGGAUUCACAUCUCUUACAACCUACACAGUCCUCGGUUCUUGGCGCGGAAGCUAUUUGCUUGGCUUUACAUCCGUCCCAAGGUAUCAUUUCCAAUACAUCUGUGGGGCAAGCUCGUACACAUUGAGUACACCCUAUACAUGUAUCAUAAAUUUUUACUGAAUGUGACAUUGGAUCUAUAAAUUCCAGUUUUGAACAUAAAAAAUUUUCGAUCUNGUAACAUCGGUCCUGAUAAACCCCAAUUUACAGCUUCUUCUCCAACAAUAAUGCCCACCCCUUCCACUUGUUCCAAAAAAUGGGAUUCCAUGUAAUAAGUUUUUGAUAUUCAACAACUCCUGUUAAAGAAUAAUCGCAGAAAUCCAAACAUUUAUCUAUCCAUCCAUAAGGUAGAUCAGCAGCUACUCCUCCGAUAUGGAAAUAAUUAUGCAUCAUUCGCAUGCCCAGUAGGGAAAUCCCAAUUCAGUGGGCCUUUUGAUGCAAUCAAAUAGAUUGGCACAAGGGCGCCAUAUUCUAGGAGCCCAAACUAUGUGAUUGAAUAAAUCCUCCUCUAUCUGUUUUACAUGAAAUGGAUAUAUUCGUAUCUUUUCUUUUUGUAUAUUUUUGACUCAUAAAUAUGAGAUGAUAAAAUAUGACAAAAGCUAUACCAAGAAUUGGUUUACAUAGGAAUGGGCGUAUUGGUUCACGUAAGAAUGGGUGUAGAAUACCAAAAGGCGUAUUGGUUCACGUAAGAAUAGGCGUAGAAUACCAAAAGGCAUUAUUCAUGUUCAAGCGAGUUUCAGCAAUACCAUUAUAACUGUUACAGAUGUACGAGGUCGGGUAGUUUCUUGGGCCUCUGCUGGUACUUCUGGAUUCAAAGGCACUAAUAGAAAAUUUUGGGACAAAAAAUGAAUCCACUUAGUUUCAGACUUGGUACAACUCAAAGUCAUCAUUCCUUUUGGUUCACACAGCCAAAAAAUUAUUCCCGGAUCUACGAAAAAAAAUCAUUGGCUUAUCAAAUUAUCUAUCGAGCCGUGAAAAAGAUUCAACAAAAGAUAGAAACAAAUCCACUAUCUGUUUUACGUCAAGCAAUACGUGGAGUAACUUCCGAUGUAGCAGUAAAAGCAAGACGUGUAGGCGGAUCGACUCAUCAAGUUCCUAUUGAAAUAGGAUCUUCAUAAGGAAAAGCAUCCCGAAAGCGGCCGGGUCGAAAUAUGGCUUUCAUAUUAAGUUCCGAAUAAACCGGUUACUGGUACAAAUAACAUAAAGAAAUGUAACCAACGUUUAUUGAAAAAAGCAACCCCAAAGAUUUGGGACCAAAAGCCACAAAAUUAAAUAUUAAAUAAUGGUAGAUUGGAAAUGAAAGUCCUUUUCUCGCAUUCGUUCUCUAUUGCAUUGGCGGAAGAACAAAACAAUAUCUGAUUCUGAAAUCAAGGAAAGAUAUUGAAAAAUAGAUUUUCGAAAUAAACUUUGGACAUCUAGGGGUAAAGUUCGGUGCUGGCUGCGAGAGCGGUACCAAAUCGACGCAAACUCUGACUACUGGAUGUGACCCAAAAAUAAUAGGUGUCAAGGUUAGCUAGUGAGACGAUGGGGAAUAAGCUUCAUCGUCGAGAGGGAAACUGCCCGGAUCUUCGGAGAAUCCAGCUACAGGAGAACCAGGAACGGGGAGCUCCCCCUUUUUUUCCGCCCGACUUUUUGGUCUUAAGAAUACUGGUUUUAAGAAUGAGUGAUUGCGCUUCUCUGACCCUUACUGCCCAACAGAAAAAAGAAUUUCUUUUUACUAAUAAAAGUUUCAAAAGAAAAAACAAGAUGGAUCAUUAAAAUACUUCUAGUUUUAAAACGAAUAAUGAAGGAAAUUUAAAAAGUAAACCCAAUAUUCUUAUUUGAAUUGAGCUCGGCUUUUAAGUGCGAUUAUGAUCUUUUACACAUUUGGAUGAAGCAACGAAUUCGUCCAGAAUAUUGGUAUAGUCUAUAAGACCACGACUGAUCCUCAAGGGUAAUGAAUAAAGAUUUACCUCUGUAGAAAGACUGAUUCAUUCGGAUCGACGUGAGGGUCAACUCCAUUGCAUUGCCUGAAUCCAUGUUGUAUAUUUGAAGUGGUUGACCUCCUUGUUUCUCGUAUGGUACAACCCAAAGUCUCAAAUUCAAGAUCUUCUGCUGCACGGAUUUCUUGGGAAACGAAGUCAUAGGCACGUAGGUUCAGAGCCAGACCGACUACCCCAAUAGCACUCAUCCAUAAACAGGUUACUGGUACAGAUAACAUAAAGAAAUGUAACCAACGUUAUCCGGCUCUACCCAAACUUUUUUGGUUCACCCCAACAUUACCCACUUGUCCGACUGUUGCUAAGCAGAAUUGGACCAGUUUCUCCUCAACAAAUAAAGGCUUGGGCCAAUAAAAUCCUACCUAGUGGAGAGAUAGUUGGAGAGGUGACAUAGAUCAAGAAAAGAAAUAUUUGAACUAUGAUUCAUACCUACUAUUUGUUCAGACCUCGCAACCGGACUCAAAAAAAAUUCAAAUAGGUAUUUCCUAAAUCAAACGAAUUUUAUUCCUUCAGAUUUAUUUUGACCGAAGGAUAACUCUUUCUCUAGAGUUAUAAGAACCAGUAAGAUUAAGGAAUUAAAUCCUUAUUCGCAGUGCUUUUAAUGAGAUAACUAGCAUGUCAAACACAGGCAGUUUCAUGUACUGUAGUACAAAAAUUUUAGCUAGUUUUAUUCUUAAAGCCUUCCGCCACAUGCUCUUGGUCGCCUAUAUUGGUGAUAAAAGAUGCAAAGAACUCUUUGUAGAGGAAGGAUCUGUAGAGUGGAGGGUUCUUCUCAUUGAUCAACGCCGGUGCUGGAGAGAUGAGGCUAUCCAUAGUAGGUGCGAUGAACGAGGCAAUUGUUGUUCUUGAGGCUGUUUUGUUGGUCACUGCUCGGUGCUCUGCGCUCUUCAUCAUUCCAUUAGUAAUUAUCUGAAUAACCAAUAGAGAGCAUAUAAUUCAUUCUUAGCUAAGAUUGCAUCAGCUUACUAGGAAUAGGUUUGGCCGAUAAGGAUAUAGAGGUUGAAAGCUUAUGUGUAUGCAUGAUGGAUGCUUUACGAGAUACUGUUAUAAAAUUAAUAGUGUGCAGAUAAAGAGAUUGAAUACAUGAAAUCAAGGGGAUAGAUUUCAACUGUGAAGUGUUUCUGAAUUUGUUUGCAAGAGUAUGAAAGCUGAAGGUAAUCUUAAGUUUGAUGUAAUAUACCUCUAACUGUUCCCCGAAAUUCACGACAAAAGCACCUGGAAUAGGCUCCACUCCAAUCCAGUUCUCCUUAUAUAAGACUUGUAAGCCAUUAACUUUUCCUUGAAGAAGAAUAGUGAUGAGAUUCGGGUCACAGUGUCCAGGCACACCCAAAGUUAAACUCGGGUCUGGACAUGGCACGUAGUGGUUCACGCUCGUGACAAGUCCACCCCCACUGAGCUCGCCGUCGAAGUACCCUUCGUCAAGCCUUAGUCCUUCGCAUAUGAGCUUCAACAAUUUUAAAGCUACACCUCUCACCUCCAUUGUAUAUACCAGGAGAGCCUCCCUGCCAACAUGCCCGGAUGCCUCAUUUACAAUGUGUUACUAUGCGACAGCGCAAUUAGUGUCUGUGCUGCUUUCUUUUUAAAAGUACUCUUUUUAUUUAUUUAUUUAUUUUAAAAUGAGCAACUGCUUAACGCUAAAGCAGGAAGUCAAAAUGAGCUUCCAAGAUUUAAAUCGACUCUUCUGAUUUAAAUCCUCUGAAUCUAAGCUUAACAAGCAGGAAUUGGUAAUAGUUGGUCCAAUCUGAAACUUCUCUGUCAUUUUGGAUUUUCUUUGAAUAGCUGUACUUAAAACAACAGGUGUUCAGGAUCUGUACAGGCCUAAAAACAUGAGAUGAAACUCUUAUUUGUGAUGAACAUGAUUAUAAACUAUUGCCUGAUAUGUUGAAGAAUUUAUACCUAAAUUUUCUUGGUUUUUCAGGCCACGUAUGCAUGAAAUUUUCUGUAGGGUAGCAGGCAAGCUUUAGGCAAUCUCUCCAAUAUGAAACCUCCUCAUGCUCUUUUCCAGGGGCGCUUGUAUGAAGCCUAGGAAGCUUGCUUAGAUCGGUUGAGUAAUAAGGAAGCUUCUCCUCUAUCGGCAUGUCGAAGAACUCCUCGGCAACGCGCAUCAUUUCGUUGAUCACGUUCUCCGGCACACCGUGGUUGAUAACCUGCACAGGUUCGUAUACAAACUUGCAUGCUUUUAUAAAAACGCUCCGUCAAAAAUAUCUGUGUACAAAAUUUAGAGUUGCCAAGCACAAUUUAAUCAAGUUUUUUUCAAUGUUGUAAGGGAUAUAUCCAGUUGUUUGGGAGAGUCUUCGACAAGAAAAUAACCCAUUUAGUGCCUCUUUGGCCCGAGUCUGAUUGACUGUGCGGCAAUCAAAAACAUCCUCAGCUUCUGCUACAGCAGAAAUCUAAGACCCAGAAUCAAAAGCUUCAAAUUGAAGCUUUCAAAUCUACUGAAGAGAAAAGUACAGUUCUUCGUAAAAACACUUUUAAGAGUAGCUUUUGAUCAAACAACACCACCUCUACGGGUCAUACAAGCACAAUUAAUAUGAUAUGAGCACCUGAAGGAAACCAAAUUCUUUUCCAGCAUCAAUAAUUUGCUCCACAACUGUUGCAAGUUCUUCUCCGUUAGGAUUUCCUCCUUUGAGAUCCACCACCGGGAUCGCUUCCCACGCGGGAAUAACAUUUCCUGGGCGCUUCUCCAUAGGCAUAACAUAGUUUUGGGGCACUGCUUCAUAAAUUGUGCCAUCGGAGAGAAGCUUCGCCAUCUCAAAAUUAAUUGGAAAUUAAACUUGUAGCUUGAUAAAUGAUCAUACAGUAGAAUCUUAUACAAGUGAGUCUUGUUGUUGACUUUAGCACUAAAGAUUAGAGUAUAAUACAUAUUUUUCUUUGGAAAAUAUAUAGAUAUAAUGAGUACCGUUACGGACCAUCCUGAAUGUCGUCUUUAUGAACUAUUGAGAAUUUUGAUUAGUUUAUACACAUAACCGAAUAAUGCAUUAACAGUCUAUAGAGGGAGACAAACUUAUCUGUAAACUGUAUUAUACUUUCAUCUUGCAUAUGAAGUUAAUUUUUUGAAUAUUUCUUUGGUUUGAAAAUUUUCACAUUAUUCUUGAUUAGAUGUUUACUAGUUUACAUGAUUCGGUGUAAUUAGUUUGAUGCAAAUCCAAUCCAAUAUAAAGUAUCUAUUACAAAGAAGCUUUGUUGGGCACCCAAAGCAUUUGAGGCAUUUCCCAAUUAUAAAAUUGUUGAGUGCUUUAGCUAUUCUAGCAGAUCUAUCUUUUAGUUGAAUUAUUGGUGGAAUCCAUGUUCUCUGAGAAUAUGCCAAGAAGUUGCUGGCUCUAUAUAAAUUAUUUGCUUUGGACAUGGUCAACAUUGAAAGAGAGAGAUUGAAAGCGAAUUUAAAUUUUCCAAUAUAUAGAAAUCUGAUGCUUUUGGCACCAUAAUUCCAAACUAGCCCUAACUAUAAGAAGAGAGUACUUCUAUGUAUAUGUAUAUAUUUGGUCCUCAAACUAUGAGGUUUGUGAUACUUUAAUUUGUUAUAAUUCCUGGCUCAAACUUUUUGAAUUAUUGGAGUCCAAUUAGUUGACUAAAUAUUAAUAUGUCGCUAAUUUGAAAGAGAUAUAGCGGUAUUAUGAUUAAUAAUACAACAAUAAUUAAGAUAUCUCAUUAUUUUUAUAUCAGUGAUGUGUUAAUAUCUAGUCAACAAAAUUAGAUUACAACAAUUUACAUAAUUUGAGUCAGAAAUUGUAAUAAAUUAAAGUUUUAGGACCAAAAUGUCAUGAACCUCAAGAGUUUGAGGACCGAAUGUGCAAUUUAGCCUGUAUAUAUAGAGUUGAUCUGAAAAUAUAAUAGUACUCCAGUAGCUUAAUUUUUUGAAAGAAAUCAUUUUGAUAGUUCCUAGCCAUAAUAAAAAUAAAAGUUUCAGAAUUGAAGUUUUUAGCUUAAAUUAAAUCAGCUUCUUGAUGUUGUUGCUAAAACUCCAAUUUUUUUAGUUGACAAAUAUCUGAAUAUUGAUAUUGUUGCUCAAUAUGUGAGCAAGUUUCAAAGCCAGCUAAACAAGGCAAUAAGAUUAGUGAAAUUCUUCAUGAAGUACUGUUAGGGGUGUAAUGUGGGCCGUGCCUGUCCCACAUUUUUCGGGACGAAACGGGCUAGGAACUGAUCCGGCCCGGCCCGACAUCAAAUGUGGGUUGGGCUGUGUCGGGCCCGAGCUCCCUAGCCUCCAGCCCAGCAUGGCCUCUCGGCCCGGAAGCCACAGGGCGUGCCAGGCCGGGCCGUUCUCCGGGCCGGCUUCUUUUUUAAAUUUUUUUAAAAAUAUAUAUAUAAUCUAAAAAUAUAAGCAAGAAACUACUUUUAUUUAAAUUGAUAUUAUGUUAAAAAAUUUAAAAUAUAUAAAAAUAAUUAUAAAAUAACAAAUGUUUAAAUUUAUUUAAUAUAUAUAUAUAUAUAUAUAUAUAUAUAAUUAUUAUAUAUAUAUAUAUAUAUAUUUGAAAUAUUUUAAAAAAUUUAAAAUCAUUUUUGGUUCAAUAGACCAAAAUUAUUUUGUUCAUUGGACCAAAGCAUGCCUCCCAGAUCUGCUUCCCAAGGUCUGCUAGGCAAACCUUGAGAGUAGAUAUCCUGGGGAGCCUCCUCCCCGGGAGAUCAGGACCCAGGGCCGAUCUCCCCUAGACACAAGGCAGCUUGCCUUGGGACUGGGGUUUCCGUGCUGUGCUGGCUCAGGACUACCACGGCCCAAGCAGGCUGUGCCGUGCCGGGCUAGCGACCUGUUUCGGGCCGGGCCGUGCCGAGCUGUCAGGCCCCAAAAAAGCGGCGUCCGAAGAGCCGGGCCGGCCCCGCCUGCAGCACAGUUGCUACAGUAGCUGUGCUGGGUUACAGUCCGGCCUGCAGUCAGUCGUCUGUUUUACACCCCUAAGUACUAUGAAUUUAUUGGUGGAAUAUUUCUUGUAAUACAAUAAAUUAUUUGUUAAUGGAAUCAUCUAUUAUGUUGAGAGCUACAAUUUUGUCUCUUCUUUUGUAUUACCUAAUGUUUGUUGACAUAAUUUGUUCUCCACAUUGAGGACAGAAACAAACCGUACCCAACACGAGAGCCAUGAUAAAAGAAUUGUAUCACAUUCUAAUUUAUGGAACCACAUUUUGGUUUGUGUCUUUUGUUGAAAAUGUAGCAAAAUGUAACAACUAUUCAAACAUAUGUGAUUGAUAAUUGGAUUUAAGUAUUUUGGGCAGGCGGUUUAUAUCUAAUUAGUUAUUAUUGUUAGUUAAGUAGGUACAUUUGGUAGAGUUGGUUCACGCGUCGAAGUUUACGUGAGUUAUCGGGAUUUAAAUAAGGGGAGUAUAUGAUGUCUCAAUAAUUUCUUAUCGGAUGAAAGUAUAAGAAUUACAUACUCUGGUACUAAAAAUUGGAUUUAAGUAUUUUCGGUUGGUGGCUUGGAUUUAGUAAGUUAUUAAUAUUAAUUAGGCUGGGUCAUUUGCACCUGUUUGGAAUGUUGUAUAGAUUUAUUGUUUUUAUUUUUGAAAAUGUCAUAGUGUGUUGUUGUUGUAUUUUUUUUUUUUUUUUUUUUUUUCACUGGAGCAAAUGUUGCCAUCUAAAGAGGAAAUAACCCUUCAAAGAAAAGGCAUGAAUUAGCUUGUCUUUACAUGUAAAUUUGAACCCUGAUUUUAACUAAUUUUGAUGUUAAUUUUAUUCUAUCCUUAUUUCUUUUCACUUUUACCCAUUUACAAGUGAAGAAUAAUUACGAUGCUGUUGUCACUUCAAAAAAAAUUAAAAUAUGACAAGGUUUCAAACACUCACGUUUUCCAUCAUGAGAAUUGAGUUAAAAAGAUCUACUCUAUUAUUAUUUCUUAAAUGCUUAUUGGUUGUUUUAUGUUGAUAGAAGCCUAACUUUUGUUGCGUCGCUAACUUUGAAAUUAUCAGUUACCAAAGUUAUGGAAUUGAAGUUCAAUAAUACGCACGUCACGAACACCAACAUUUCAGAUCUGAUCUGAGCGUAGCCUUGUCCAAAUACGAUCAAAUUAUGAUUGAGAGAAAUCCAAAAUCGACAUAUAACAAGAUCCUGUUUAAUCCAAAAAUUAACUUAAUAUCACGUGAAUCGAAACUGAGUCAGAUGUUCUAAGCUUCUCAGAUUAUGUUAUAAACAUCCAGACAAUGUUUAAAUUGAUACGCCUAACACAAACACAACUUGCGAAACUACAUUGCCACUCCUGAUACAAGCACGAUUUGUCGAAUAAUAUCGAAAACAUGUCGCGUUGUUCACAUGCUCUGUAUCUGGUACAUAAUCAUAGGUGGUGGUGGUGGUGGUGGUGGUGGUGGUGGGGGACUUUGUACAUUGCUUGUUAAUUUGUCCUCAUUUUCCAAAUUCAGAGAAUUACAAUGCUCCAUGAUAACGACUUGGUCAUAAAUGUUUAUGAUAACAGGGACUCCCAUUCAAGCACCAAUAUGCCAUUUCGCAGGAGCAAAUAUUAUAGGGAGAGCCUAUUUAUCGGGAGAUGCAUUCAUAUUCACACUGCUUUAAGAUUCAAUCACGGCACAUGAUGUCGAUGGAUUACAUAUUGUCUCCAUAGGAUAGAGCUGAAGUGAUUUUAUUAUAAGUCAUAACACUGUUUGGUAAAGUGUUAUUUGAAUAAAAUUAUUUCAAACUAAAAAAAAUAGAGAUUUAGAGGAGGAUUAUAUUGAAAUUGUUUUGGCUGAACCAAGAGCUUUAAUUUUAAUUUUUUAGGAUUGUAUUUUCAUAUCACGAUUUAUUUUUUAUUUUUAUUUGUUGAAUACUCUUUUACAAAUCAUUGCGAUUAUUAAGCAAUAACCAUGCCUGCUUAAACUAUGCCACAAAAAAAAAAGGAAAAACUUCAAAAAACCCCGUGGUUUCGCACUUUUUCAUUUUAAUACCCUAUGAUUUAAAGUGUAUCAAGUUAGUACCAUAUGGUUUCGUACUUUCUCAUUUUAAUAUCCUAUGAUUUAAAGUGUAUCAAGUUAGUAUUUUAUGGUUUUAUUUUUAUAUCAAGUUAGUGCUAUGUGGUUUUAUUUUUCUCUUAAUGAAAUAUUAAACCACAUGAUACUAAAGUGAGAAAGUGUGAAACUACAGGAUACUAACUUGAUACACUUUAAACUACAGGGUACUAAAGUGAGAAAAAAUGAAACCACACGUGCGGUAUUUGAAGUUUUCCUAAAAAAAAAAAAAAUCUAACACUAUUAUUCGUUUCUAACAAGGCUCUUUUGCGAGCAACUCAAAGAAGAAUCUUUUUUGGUGAUACGUCAAUGGAAUUACUCAUGAUGACAACAAAAUAAAAUAAAAUAAAACAAAACAAAAUAAUCUCACAUUUCCAUCUCCAUCACGCAAAAUUAUUGACAAGAAUAAAAAAAAAUUUCACGUGAAAAAAAUUUGUACUCCUCCCCCCCGCCCCAACCACACAGAUUAUGCCACGUCAGCUCACCUGACGUCGCGUGCUGACGCAGCCCCCUGACCGGCUGACCUGGCCGCCUCUCCCCGCCAUUGACCCACGUGCUAUUUUCACCCCACCCCCACCCCAAUUUCACCCCGUGCCCCUCCACCUUUUCGUAUUUACAUUUUACCCCCUGGCACACUCACUCGACACUCUCGUCCUUGUGUAUAUAAAGCCCGCGGGCUCCUAACCAUUCAAAAGUUGUAUUCGCAAUUCGCAACUUCUCUCUCUCUCUCUCUCUCUCUCUGUUUUUUUUUUUAAGUAUUAAUGGAUUCUUCACUCCUACUACUCGAAGGAUCGCUCCCUUUCGAUGUGAACGAUAGCGAAGAGACGCUCCUCUACGACACGCUCGCGGAGGCGGCCACGGAGACCGUGGGGGGAUCCCGGGGCCGUGGUCGUCCCUCCGAUCGGCCGUAUAUCGGGGUCCGAAAGCGUCCUUCGGGGAAAUUCGCUGCGGAGAUACGCGACUCGGCGCGGGGCGGGGAGCGGGUGUGGCUGGGGACGUUCGAGAGCGCUGAGGCGGCCGCCCUGGCCUAUGAUCAGGCGGCGUACGCCGUGCGGGGGGCGGCCGCGGUGCUCAAUUUCCCCGUGGAGCGCGUAAAGGAGUCGCUGCGGUGGCUCGAGGAGGCGGCGGGGGGCGGGGACAGCGACGACGGUUCGCCGGUGGUGGCGCUAAAGAAGAGGCAUUUGAUCAGGAGGAGGAGGGGGGGGACCGGGGGGUCGAAAUGUAAAAAGGGCGCGGGGGAGGGGGUGAAGCGUAAUAUUUUUGAGUUUGAGGAUCUGGGCGAGGAAUAUUUGGAGGAGCUUCUAAGCGCAUCAGAGCUUGCCACGUGUUGAUUAUAGUGUACGAUUAAUUAGAGAGCUACUAUUAUUAACUGUUGUACUAAAUUUUAUUUCUUAAAUACUUAAUAAAAAUUAAGACAAAGAUUUAAUAUUUAUAUUCAUGGUUGAAUAGGAUAGCGUGUUUUUCUUACGAAUUUAUUUUAUCUGAAAACAUAAUUAAAAUGCUGAAUAUAAUAUUCAAUUCUGAAAUAUACGAAGUACAAUAUUCAUACAAUCAAACAAGUCCUAAAUAGAUUUACAGUGUGGGAUUAAGCUUAAUUUUUUUGCCUAUCAAAGUGUCUAAUUAUCUUUUUAUUCAUGAGAUGAUCAAUUUAUGCUAAUCAAGCUUUUUUAGUGUAUUAAUUUUGACUCAAAUAAUCCAAGCUAGGAUGAGGACGUAUACUUGUAAUUAUUGCAUACACAAUGUUCAAUUGCUCAGUUCUAAUACCAACACCAGGUUUAUAUUUCUGAUUAUUUUUAAAAAACAUAAAUUAUUUGUUUGUUGUGUGUAAUUUGAGUAACAAUAGAUAAAGACAUACUAAAUCAGUAAUUCAUAUAUCUUACUAAGAUGACACUAUUGUUCUUUCUUUUAGCUCUUAGCAAACUCCCUUUUUCUUUUCUUUUUUUUCUUUUUAUUUUUUGGUUGAGUUAGAUUUUCCGCGCAGUUCGACCCCAACGGAGACGUAUCUAUACAUCUAAACAAAUAUAUUAAAGAAGAACCCAAAAACGGUACGGCCGAGCUCUCCUCAUUUAGGGUGUGUUUGGUUACCCUAAAAAAAAUUUUCGGGUUUGAAAAUUACUUUUCUAGCGUUUGGUUUGAUGUUAAAAAAUUUUGCCGGAAAAAUUAUUUUACGGAUUCUACGUAAAAGUAAGCUUUUCAUUUUUAGCCAAAUCACGGCGGAAAAUGAAAACUUACAGUAAAAAAUCGCGGCUCAGGAUCAGGUCCACGAGCUCAUUUAAGAGCUUGUGGAUCAUGUGAGUGGUUCACACCGACUCCAUAUAAAAUAUUUUAUUUAUAAAUUUAUUUUAUAGUAUUAAAUAUAUUUUAUUUAUAAAUAUAAAUUAUAAUAUUAGUAAUAUGAUAAUUAUUAUAUAUUAAUAAUAUAUAAUAUAUAAAAUAAAAAAAUAUAUAUAAUAAUUUUUUAUUUAUAAUUAACUUUUUUCUUCUUUUCCUUUCUUUUCCUUUCAACCAAACAAUCAUAACGAAAAACUAUUUUUUUUUCCUAUAAACCAAACGCUAAGAGUGUAAAAUUUAUUUUCCUCCGAAAAUUUUUUUUCCACCAAAAUUUUUUUUUUUUCGCAGUUUUACGUCGAACCAAACAGCCCCUCAGGGGAAUAGAUAGAGCCCUCUUUUUUCCUUCCUUUCUCUCUUCCCCAUUAUCCUUUUCAUUUUUUUGUUUACACCAAAUAUGCAAAUUUAUUACAUAACUAAGCCUAUUUUUGAAUAAUAAAUAUAACAAGAUUAAAAUUUCAUCUGAUAGGUAUAAUCUAUAAUAUAUAAAAAAUCUAGACACAAAAAUUAAUAUAUUUGUAUCUUUAUAAUAAAACUUUAUGAGUACGAUGUAAAAAAAAACUAAAAAAAAAAACUAUUUGUACCUUUAUAUAUAUUAUAUGGUUCCACGUCGUGAUGGAAAAGCCCGUACUAUAUAUAGGCUCAUAAGGAUAGGAGUUACAGGAAUGUAAAGCCAUAAAUUUCAUAGCAUCUUUAUGCUAAGUUCAUAGUGCAGAGUUAGUUUUUACCAAAGCGAUUGGUUAGAUUCAAUGCAAGCAAAGACAAAUGUUUGUGAUUAAGGGUAACUUGCAUUUUUUAUAUAGCCAGAUCAAUUAUUAUAUUAAUAAUAAAAAUAAACAACGAUAGCAUCAAAAUGAGUUUAAGUUUUAAUUUAAUAGGGUUUUUAGAAUAAAGAUUAUUAAUAAUAAUUAUAAACUAUAUAAAUAUUAAAAGUUAAAAAUAUCAAAAAAUAAUUAUUUUAAUGCGUACAUACGAUAUUAUAUUUUUUCUUCUUAGUUUAGAAGUUUUAAAAUUAUAUAAUAUAUUAAUUGAUUGAAUAAUGUAGAGCCGUGCUUAACCCUAGACUUGUUUUGGGGUAUGGUGGGCCACCCACUUUUCCUGUUCCCUCUCUCUAACGACCUUUAUUUGUAAUUUAUUUGCGCUGCUCUGUUCAAUGUCUUUUUACAUGAAGCCAAAAUUUUUUAAAUAAUUUAAAUAUAAUAAAAAUUAAUUUUAAAUUUAAUGAAUUAAUUAUAUAUAUAAACGAAGUGUUCGAUAACAAAAUUAGCGUUAAUUUUUUACUUUUAUGUAAAAAUUUGUAUAAAUACUAUGUAAAAAAUAAUUAAUACUUAUGCACCCAAUAUAUAAGAUAAUUAUCUCUAUAAUUUUUUGCGUUAUUAGUGAUGAACAUGAUACUUAUAGUAUAUAUAUAUAUAUAUAUAUAUUAUAUAUAUAAUAUAAUUAUAUAUAUGCACCAAUAUAUAAGAUAUUAUCUCUUAUAAUUUUUGCUUUAUUCAGUGAUGAGACAUUGAUAUAUUUUAUAUAUAUAUAUAUAUAUUAUAUAUAUAUAUAUAUAUAUAUCCUUAUAGUAUAUAAUAUAUAUAUAUAUAUGCACCUUUUUUUAUGUUAACCAUCUUAGCUUAACAUCAAAACUUAAAAAUUCGUUGCAAUGACGUCGUGCCCUUAGAUAAAGUGGAAUAAAAGGCCUUGAUGAUUGAUACCCGAGAAUGGUCCCCAAGGUUAUCGAAUCCUAUUGAUUCACUAUUUCUAGCUAAGUUAUUAAAAUGAAAUAAACAAAGCGAGAUAGCGUGGCUACACUGAUUCGUCUACAAACAAAAAUAAAAAAAAAAAAAAAAAUAAUUGUUGAUGGACCUAAUCAUAUUUUUAAUAAUUAUGUUACUAACAAAAUUAAAAUCGUAUAUGAUAAAUUAUAAUUUAUAAUAUUAUAGAGCGUUUAAAUACGAAAAAAUUACUAUAAUGUUUUAAUUUUAAAAAAUAUCUUCUAUAUACAAUAUAGAAUCGAUAAAUGAUCAACGGAGCUGCUCCUUAUUUUGAGCAUUACUGGCCCACCACUUUUUUUCACUUGGGUCCCGUCUCCCUAACCUUUUUUUUUCUUUUUCCUUUUUUCUUUUAUUUGCCUGCACCAGCAUCCUUAAAAAAUCGUUGCAUGGAACACAAAAUUUAUUUUUUAAUAGAUUAUAUGAUAAAUUAAAAUCGAAACCUUGAUGAGCUUCCAUCUGACAUAUACAUAAAAAGUUUAGAUAUAAAAAAAUUAUUGAAUUAUUAAUAUAUAUAUAUAUAUAUAAUAUUAUAUGACCCAAUUAUAUUAAGAUAAUUUAUUCUUAUAACUUUUUGUUAUAGUUGAUUGGGAGGACAUGGAUAUAUAUAUAUCAUAUAUAUAUAUAUAGUAUAUAAUAUAUAAUAUUAUAUUAUACUAUAUUAUAUAUAUAUUAUAUGCACGUUUUAUUUGCGUUACAUCUGUGCCUGUACAUCAAAAACUAAAAAUUCGUUGCUGAUGACGCAUCGUCCUUAGAUUAAGUGGCAAAGGCUUGAUGAUUGUACCCCCCGAGGUCCAUAAGUUCGAAUCCUAAUUGUUCACGAUUUCAGCUAAGUUUUUAUUCUAAAUGAAAUAAAAAAGCGGAUAGGUGCUACAUAUCUCUACAAAAAAAAAAAAAAAAAAAAAAAAAAUUUGCCUGGACAUCUUAUUUUUAAUAAUUAUGUAACAAUUAGAAUCUAUAUGGAUAAAUGUACUUUAUAAUAUAUAGAGGUGUUAAAUACAAAAAUUACUUAUGUUGUUUAAUUUUAUAAAAAUAUCUCUAUAUACAAUAUAGAAUUCAUUCAAUGAUACAACGAGCUCUCCUUAUUUUGGCCAGAUUACUGGCGACACCCACUUUUUUUCACUUUCUUUCUUCUCCAUAACCUUUUUCUUUUUUUUUCCUUUUUGUUUUUUUUUGCCUGCAGCCACUUCUUAAAAAUCCUUCGCAUGAACAAAAAAUUAUUUUUAAUAAUAAUAUGAUAAAAUCUAAAAUCUAACCUGAUUGAGUUCAAUCUUACAAUACAUAAAAGUUUAGAUUUAAAAAAAAUUAUUGAAUUUUAUUUUUAUAAUAAAUUUUAUAAAUUUAUUAUAAAAAAAAUAGUUAUAUAUAUCUGGUUGACUUUUUUUUUAUAAAUAGAUAGUUGUUGUGGGUUUUUUUUCUUUUUGGUAGUGCUCUAUUUUAUUUUCUAAUUAGGUAAUACUUUAUAUUAUUUUAAUUUUAUUUAAUAUUAUAAAAUUUUUGAAGUAAAUAUACUUCAUAUAAAGUUAGUAUGACACAUUAUAUCUGAUUUGUGGUAGUGUAUUUUUUAUUUCGUUUAUUAUUAUAUAUUUUUAUAUACUCAUAAAAUUAUACGUGUUUAAAAAAAUAAACAUUCUGAAAAAAAAACUGAAAUAUUAUUUU
rnacentral:lncRNA from 1 species